CCUGGCUAUCUCUGACUGGAAUCAGC
rnacentral:misc_RNA from 1 species